AUACGUAGGUCCCGAACGUUGCGCGAAAUUACUGGGCGUAAAGGGUCCGUAGGCGGUCUGGUAAGUGGAAGGUGAAAGCCUGGGGCUCAACUCCAGAAUUGCCUUCCAAACUGCCGGACUUGAGGCAGGGAGAGGUCGGCGGAAUUCCCGGUGUAGCGGUGAAAUGUGUAGAUAUCGGGAGGAACACCAGUGGCGAAGGCGGCCGACUGGAACUGUCCUGACGCUGAGGGACGAAAGCCAGGGGAGCGAACCGGAUUAGAAACCCUUGUAGUCC
rnacentral:rRNA from 1 species